UGCUGCUCGGAAACGCAAAGGUUUGCAGUUAUGGACGUCCUCUCAACCCAGUGUUGCACAGGUAAGAUUUUGAGCGUAAAGGCUGGCAAGGAUGUGGCUAAUAAAAUGGCUAAAAGGAGGGCAUCUCUUUCACCCCGAACACAAUGUAAUGCUGUGAACCCCCUUUUCCAAACAACUUCUGCAACCCAUGUUGAGAACCUGACCCCUUACUACACUCUUCCUCACAGAGUGGAUCCGGGGCAUUGGGGAAUGGUUGGAAGCACUGCUGCAGACUGGAACGCCUCUGACUUAGUCCCACCUUCACCUUCGACGUCUCAUGCACACUCUGAAAUAAAUUCUCUUCAUCUGUCUAAUAUACGAGCGACUUUAUCACAUUCUGAUGAGAGGAGAUCUAUAGCAGACAUACAAAGACCUCAACAGCCUUCAGUCUCGGCUCCCCAAGCAACUUUACGAGGAGAUUCUUGUGUUACACAUCAAGCAUUUGACAGUGUUAAAUAUCAACAAACUAACACUGCGCCACAUUGUCCUGUGCUCUCACAAGAACAAGUAAACCAGUUCAGUUUAGCCAUGACACAACCUUAUAGUUUGCCAAAUUGCCAUUUGAAUGCAAAUUUGAUACCUCCUCCUCUCUCAGUUCAGGCUUUGACACAUGUCCCUAUGCCCAGCACGAUUACAACAAUUCAUUACCCUUACUUCCUUCUGAAUGGACAAACAUACACCACAGGCUCCACUGCAGCCAUUCACCCUGAUACUAGAUAUUAUCCUAACACCAUUUAGGGCUAAUGUACUACAAGCUUUGAUUGAAUCAGAGAUAUGUAUUUUUGUAAGUCGGUUUUAUUUACAGGUAAAUUACAUCAAAGAACUCGUUCAGGAGUGGCCAACGUCAGUCCUGGAGAGCCACAGUCCUGCAGAGUUUUGCUCCAACCUUGAUUAAACCAAACCUGCGUGUUGGUUUCUAGUAAACCUUGGAUCUUGAUUAGCUUGUCCAGGUGUGUUUGAUUAGGGUUGGAGCUGAUCCAAAGCCACUAGAAGGCAAGCCUGCAACCUUUAGCAAAAAAAAGCGUAACGGCUAAUGCUAACGCUUCCGGUUUGCCAGUAAAAAAAUGCCGUUUUAUAA
rnacentral:lncRNA from 1 species